rnacentral:rRNA from 1 species
GUGUCAGCAGCCGCGGUAAGACAGAGGGUGCAAACGUUGUUCGGAAUUACUGGGCGUAAAGCGUGUGUAGGCGGCUGCGCAAGUCGGAUGUGAAAGCCCCGGGCUCAACCCGGGAAGUGCACCCGAAACUGCGUAGCUUGAGUACCGGAGAGGUUGGUGGAAUUCUCGGUGUAGAGGUGAAAUUCGUAGAUAUCGAGAGGAACACCGGUGGCGAAGGCGGCCAACUGGACGAGUACUGACGCUGAGACACGAAAGCGUGGGGAGCAAACAGGAUUAGAUACCCUGGUAGUCC